CAGUAGCCACGGGAAUACGAAGGGUGCAAGCGUUAAUCGGAAUUACUGGGCGUAAAGCGUGCGCAGGCGGUUAUAUAAGACAGAUGUGAAAUCCCCGGGCUCAACCUGGGACCUGCAUUUGUGACUGUAUAGCUAGAGUACGGUAGAGGGGGAUGGAAUUCCGCGUGUAGCAGUGAAAUGCGUAGAUAUGCGGAGGAAUACCGAUGGCGAAGGCAAUCCCCCGGACCUGUACUGACGCUCAUGCACGAAAGCGUGGGGAGCAAACAGGAUUAGAUACCCCCUAGUCCCUGUCUCUUAUACC
rnacentral:rRNA from 1 species